rnacentral:rRNA from 1 species
GAUGAACGCUGGCGGCGUGCCUAAUACAUGCAAGUCGAGCGAACAGACGAGCUGCUUGCUCCUCGGACGUUACCGACGGACGGGUGAGUAACACGUGGAUAACCUACCUAUAAGACUGGGAUAACGUCGGGAAGCCGGAGCUAAUACCGGACAAUAUAUUGAACCGCAUGGUUCUAUAGAGAAGGACGGUUUUGAUGUCACUUAUAGAUGGAUCCGCGCCGCAUUAGCUAGUUGGUAAGGUAACGGCUUACCAAGGCAACGAUGCGUAGCCGACCUGAGAGGGUGAUCGGCCACACUGGAACUGAGACACGGUCCAGACUCCUACGGGAGGCAGCAGUAGGGAAUUUUCCGCAAUGGGCGAAAGCCUGACGGAGCAACGCCGCGUGAGUGAUGAAGGUCUUCGGAUCGUAAAACUCUGUUAUUAGGGAAGAACAAAUGUGUAAGUAACUAUGCACGUCUUGACGGUACCUGAUCAGAAAGCAACGGCUAACUACGUG